rnacentral:rRNA from 1 species
UACGGAGGGGACUAGCGUUGUUCGGAAUUACUGGGCGUAAAGCGCACGUAGGCGGAUUGUUUAGUCAGGGGUGAAAUCCCGAGGCUCAACCUCGGAACUGCCUUUGAUACUGGCAAUCUCGAGUCCGGUAGGGGCGCAUGGAAUUCCCGGUGUAGCGGUGAAAUGCUUAGAUAUCGGGAGGAACACCAGUGGCGAAGGCGGUGCGCUGGGCCGGAACUGACGCUGAGGAGCGAAAGCGUGGGUAGCAAACAGG